AGUCUGUCUGGCAUGGCAGCCAAAAGAUGGUCAUCCUGUUACCAGUAAUACUGAGAGCCUUUUCUGCACUGUGUAGUCUCUGGCAGGCUUUCAAGUAAGACACAAAGAUCUCAUGCUGUCUGCCCUACUGCACAUCUCUUUCUCAGACCUCAGACCCUUCUAGGCCCCUGACCAGACAAGCCAUCUGCCACUGUCAAAAGUCCAUGUGUCUCUGUACCUCUAGUCAUUUUCUUUCAUAUGAAUGAAUUACUAACAGAGCCACUCCAAGCUUGGCUCACCUGAAGGACUUCCUUUCAUGGUGUCUUUCAGGGAUGUCCCAAGUGGCAUUCUAAUGAGGCAGGGGUGCAGCAGCAGACCAUUUCAGCCAACACCCACAUAAUGAGCCAGCCUAGUUGUGAUUCACUCUGAGUCAUUUCUUCAUGCUGGUUAGUCAUAGGAAGCCCCCGUGAAACAUGGGUGCUGGUUGAGGGAGAGGCAGCACAGAUAGGAGUCCAGGCCACCUGUUCCUGUGAUUUACCUGGGCCUUAUGGCCCCGCUUAAGCCCAGUCCCAAAUGGGCCACUACCAUUACACGAUUGAUCGUUGCUGUACACAUCAAUUUCUGUGAUGAUGGAUCAUAUCAAAUCUAGUUUAUGAAGGCAAACUCAGAUCACUUGUCACUUUGUGUCCUGUGGUGGGGUGAUCUGUAACUACCAGGGCAUGAGAGCUGCUCUUCAAAUGACUGGUGCUCCUCUGUAGAGGGUAUCAGUUUACUCCAAAUCAUACCUCUCUGUUCUGUCUUCUCUAUUGGAGAUUUCCAGAUUCCAAACAACGUCCUUACCAACCGUAGAUCUCACGAGCAACUUCCGACCUGCUGAGUUCUAGGAUCAAGAAGGAGGGCAGCUUGUGCCACAGUUGGGAUCUUCUCUGGACCCUUGGGAAUUUGGCAGCCUCUGGGGUUAUCCAAUAAAUGAAUCAGAGUAUUCCCAACUUUGGUACUUGUUUCCUCCAAAUUCAAAUUCCAAAGAGACCCACAAUGUAUUGUUUUCAUUGUUUUUAUUGAAGUGGAGAGAUAUUUCAAGGGCAGCAGCUUGCCCAUCACCUGUGAAGAAACAUCCCGACCUGACCUUGAUCUACCCAGUGCCUGGAAAUAGCCAUAAGCUCCUUUGAGAAAUGGUUGCAGGAAUAUUUACUGUGUACAUUUGCAUGGAGUUACAGGAGUGUUACUAAAGGGGGACUGACCUUCCACUUCAUGUACUCUGAGUGUGUAAAUUUAGAGCUGAGCCCUGGGUGUGGGACCCUGAUUUUCCAUUAAGGUAGCAAACGGCUAAUUAUUUAUUUAUUUUGCUUGCUUGUUUAUGUAAAUAAAUUAUCACCCUAGAGAACUGUGGUAUCAGCCACCACCUGAGAUCCCUGCAGAUCAAACCAUCUUGAUUGCCACUCCAACUUUGCCUGUGCUUAGUCUGCUGAGAUGGCUUUAGGUAUUUUUGCUUAAGUAAAAAUCAUGAAUCAAAGGUGAGUGCCCGGGUCAAUAAAUGAUCUCUCUGCUCUUAAAUUCUACAUUCCCUUAUCUAACACCAGGGUCCACUUUUACACAGACUCCCCAGGCCCUAUUGUUAGGCAGCUCCUGUAAUACCUUUUGUUAUAUAGGCAUUUUUUUCUCAUAGGAGGACUUUUUACUUCUCUCCCCAGGCUGUGCUGGUACCUGACUCUUGGUAUCAACACAGAGACAAUGAGGAGCUGGGGGAAUGGAGGGGCAGGUAGGUCCUGAGAAGGACAAACAUCAUCAUUUAAGGCAUCCACUUCAGUUUCAAGCAAGCUAAUAAUACCUCAACACAGGUGCUCUCUCACUGCUUUCGUGAAGAUAUGAGGCUCAAACCACACAAGUCCCUGCCCAUGCUCUGGAACCUUCCUCCAGCCCCACUCCCAUAAAACUCCAAGCCAGUCUCCUUUCCUUGAUCUUCUAAGUCAUUUUUUGGGCCUGCUUGGCAGGCAUUCUGCUCUCCCCAGAAAGCCUCCUUAUGUGAAUAAGUGAGUAAGAAGUCUUUUCUUAAUUUGGGGUGCCUGGGUGGCUCAGUUGGUUCAGCAUCUGACUUCAGGUCAUAAUCUCACAGUUUGUGAGUUUGAGCCUCACAUCGGGCUCUGCUGACAGCUCAGAGCCGGGAGCCUGCUUCGGGUUCUGUGUCUCCCUCUCUCUCUCUCUCUGCUUCUCCCCCGCUUGUGUUCUGUCUCUCUCAAAAAUAAAUAAAUAAACAUUAAAACAUGUUUUGUUUUUUUUUUUUUACAAAAAGAAGUCUUUUCUUAAUUUGUGCUAGCAUCAUCAGUCUGGACAUCCAAACCAAACUUGGCAAAUCUGCCUCUGCAAGGUGACUGCCAUAUCCAUGCAAAGGCUUGCGUGUGAAUGUUUAUAGGAGCUUAUUGAAAACAGCCAGGUACAGGAACAACCCAAAUGUUCAUCAACUGGUGAGUGGAUAGACAAGUUGUAGUUCAUCUAUAUACACAGUGAAAUACCACUCAGCAAUAAAAAGGAACAAAAUCCUGAUACAUACACAAGCAUGGAUGAAUCUCAAAGGCGUUAUGCUAGGUGAAAGAAGCCAGUCACAAAGGCUAUAUACUGGUUGAUUCCACUAUAGGAAUAGAAACCAAAUUAGCAGUUUCCUGGGCCUGGGUAAGGAGAGAGGAUUGAAAACAAAGGAGCAUGAAAAGAUUUUUGGUUGGUGUUAAUGGUCUACAUCUUGUGGUAGUGGUAUAUGAUGUGUACAUUUGUCCAAAUUCAAUGAUCUGUACAUAAACCUGACUUAAAAGGAAAAAACUUCCUCAAAAUGGAAGCUCCAGGCUUCACUGGUGAGUUCUGCUAAAUAUUCAAUGAAAAAGUAAUUCUAAACCUUAUACCGUUCCCAGAGAAUAGAAAUAAGUGAAUAUUCCCAACAUUUUACAAGGCUAGCAUAGCUUGAUAAUGAAACCUGACAAAGACAUAAAGAGAAAAGAAAAUUAUAGGUUUAUAAUUAUAAACAUGGAUACAAAAUGGCAAAAUGUCAGUAAAACAAAUCCAGUGAUAUAUUUUAAAAACACAAUAUAUCAUAGUCAAGAUAGGUUUAUUCUAGGAAUGUAAGGUUUGUAUAUUAGAAAACCUAUCAAUGCAACUUACCACAUUAACAGAUUAAAUAAGGAUAAAAAUCAUGUUACACCUCAGAAGAUGCAGAAAAAUUAUUCAGUAGAAUUUAAAAUUUAUUUUAAUAAAAAAUUAGCAAACAAGGAAUAAAGGGUAACUUAUAUUGACAAAUGUGUCUAUAUUAAACCUACCACAAAGCACCCUUACUGGUACAAUGAAAUCUUUCUAUUUAUAAUCAGCAACAAAACAAUCCACUUCUGUUUAACGUUUUAUAUAUCUAUAUCUAAAUCUAUAUCUAUAUAAUUUAUUGUCAAAUUGGUUUCCAUACAACACCCAGUGCUCAUCCCAACAGGUGCCCUCCUCAAUGCCCAUCACCCACUUUCCCCCUCUCCUCCACUCCCUCAUCAACCCUCAGUUCUCAAUAUUUAAGAAUCCCUUAUGGAUUGCCUAUUUCCCUCUCGGUAACUUUUUUUUCCCCUUCCCCUCCCCCCUGGUUUUCUGUUAAGUUUCUCAGGAUCCACAUAUGAGUAAAAACAUAUGGUGUCUGUCUUUCUCUGACUGACUUAUUUCACUCAGCAUGGAACCCUCCAGUUCCAUCCAUGUUACUGCAAAUGCAGGAUUUCAUUCUUUCUCAUUGCCAAGUAGUAUUCCAUUGUAUAUAUAAGCCACAUCUUUAUCCAUUUGUCAGUUGAUGGGCAUUUAGGCUCUUUCCAUAAUUUGACUAUUGUUGAAAGUGCUGCUAUAAACAUUGGGGUACAAGUGCCCCUAUGCAUCAGCACUCCUGUAUCCCUUGGGUAGAUUCCUAGCAGUGCUAUUGCUGGGUCAUAGGGUAGAUCUAUUUUUAAUUUUUUGAGGAACCUCCACACUGUUUUCAAGGGCGGCUGCACCAGUUUGCAUUCCCAUCAACAGUGCAAGAGGGUUCCCAUUUCUCCACAUCCUCUCAAGCAUCUAUAGUCUCCUGAUUUGUUCAUUUUAGCCACUCUGAUUGGCGUGAGGUGGUGU